UGUCCAAAAAUUCGCCACAUGAUUUCAUUUCACCAAAUGAAAUUGUAACUGCUGUGUUGCUCUUGCAGUCAUCGCUCAUGGGCACGCGCUUUGCAGGAAAAUACCUCUGAAGCUGGGCCACCACAGUCCUUGUGAUGGGGUGCUCUGCUUUUAUAGUUAGGUAUGGGACUUGGCAUCACUGCCACCUUGAGGAGCUCCGCUGGUUCUUCAGGGUGCCAGGCAGAUUCUCACAGCCUUCUGAAGCGUCAAAGUAUAAGAGGGGUCAUUCUGCCUCGGAUAAUGCCAGGACAGUGAGGCCAGGUGGUUUUAGUGGGCCAUCACUCCACGCUCCCAGUACCAACUGGCAUAGCCAAGGCACAGACACCUGCUCUCUCUCUGUGCUAGGGAAGCAGUAAACCAUAGCAAGGAGGAGGACAAACCUCUGGACACAGAAAUCUCCUCAGCUGCCACAGCUAAAUCUGCCAGGAGCUGUAUAUUGAAACCUUUACCUUAGGGAUGGUACACGACCUCACAUGGCUGCUCCUCUUCUCUUCAGAGCACGGGCUCUCCAUGGUCUCUCAUCAAGCAAAGAGAUGGAGAAGAAGGUGAUUUUCUUGUGAAAUAGUAGCAUAACAUAGUGAUGUAGAGUAAGAAAUUUCAGCUGAAUCUCAACAGGGAGGGAGUAUUAUUUCCUGGUGCUGUCUGCAGGAAGCAAGAGUUCUGUACUCUGACUAGAGGUCGUAAGCCCACAGUCUCAAUUAUCCAGCAUUUUUGGCGGAGUUGUGCCAAAAUUG
rnacentral:lncRNA from 1 species